CGAACGCUGGCGGCAGGCCUAACACAUGCAAGUCGAGCGCGCCCUUCGGGGUGAGCGGCGGACGGGUUAGUAACGCGUGGGAAUGUACCCUUCUCUANGGAAUAGCCUNUGGAAACGNAUAGUAAUACCUUAUACGCCCUUNGGGGGAAAGAUUUAUCGNAUAGGGAUCAGCCCGCGUUAGAUUAGAUAGUUGGUGGGGUAACGGCCUACCAAGUCUACGAUCUAUAGCUGGUUUUAGAGGAUGAUCAGCAACACUGGGACUGAGACACGGCCCAGACUCCUACGGGAGGCAGCAGUGGGGAAUCUUGGACAAUGGGCGCAAGCCUGAUCCAGCCAUGCCGCGUGAGUGAUGAAGGCCUUAGGGUCGUAAAGCUCUUUCNCCAGGGAUGAUAAUGACANUACCUGGUAAAGAAACCCCGGCUAACUNCGUGCCAGCAGCCGCGGUAAUACGNAGGGGGUUAGCGUUGUUCGGAAUUACUGGGCGUAAAGCGCNCGUAGGCGGNUUGUUAAGUUAGAGGUGAAAUCCCGGGGCUCAACCNCGGAACUGCCUUUNAUACUGGCAANCUAGAGUUCGAGAGAGGUGAGUGGAAUUCCGAGUGUAGAGGUGAAAUUCGUAGAUAUUCGGAGGAACACCAGUGGCGAAGGCGGCUCACUGGCUCGAUACUGACGCUGAGGUGCGAAAGUGUGGGGAGCAAACAGGAUUAGAUACCCUGGUAGUCCACACCGU
rnacentral:rRNA from 1 species